AUGCUAAAGUGUCUGAUGCCUCAAAUGGUAUCUCAUGGACUCUCCCUUCUCCGAGAUCAGAGGCAGCUUCACAUUGCUCUCACAUCCAUCACCCCUCCCACGAUCUUAGAAGAGGAUGACUCCUACUGCUGGAAGGUGAACGUAACUCUAUGCAAUGGCUACUCUUCCUCUCAGACACGGGAAGCCAUCAGACCCCGAGAAACAACAAAAUCUUGGGCCCCAAUUGUAUGGUAUAAAGGAGCUUGCUGUCUAUGCAACUGCUCAGACGAAAGCAGAGAGCACUUGUUUUUAAACUGCAGGUUUUCCCUUGAAAUCUGGGCACAAGCUUUCGCUAGACUAUCACCGCAUCAGCCAGCUUUCUUCACAGGGACAUAGCUUCUUUCUUGGUGUAGAGCUCAAUCAGUAGCAGCUCCGGCUGUUCUAAGGAAAUUACUCACUCAUGUCCUUGUAUACCAUAUAUGGAGGCAAAGAAACAAUGUCCUCCACAACAACACUCACCGCUCACCCGUGCGAAUCUUCAGACUCAUUGAUCGAGAUGCGAGAAAUACGAUCACUGCAAGGCGCCACAAGCGCUCUUUUUUGAACCUCAUGGUGCUUUGGAUUAGAUGAACCAGAUGCUCACCAUAGGAUCUAAACUACUACCUUUCUUGUUUUUUAUUUAAUUUUGGCCAAAAAAGAUGUAUGUAAAAGUCUUUUCAUUGUAACAGACAAGCUGCUCAUUUUAGAUAGUGAUAUUUACAAUUUAGUAAAAAAAAAA